UACGGAGGGUGCAAGCGUUGUCCGGAUUUAUUGGGUUAAGGUGCGUAGGCGGCCCGGUAAGUCAGGGUGAAAUCCUGGAGCUCAACUCCAGAACUGCCUUGAUACUGAAGAUCUUGAGUUCGGAGAGGUGAGUGGAACUGCGAGUGUAGAGGUGAAAUUCGUAGAUAUUCGCAAGAACACCAGUGGCGAAGGCGGCUCGCUGGCCCGAUACUGACGCUGAGGCACGAAGCGUGGGAGCAACAG
rnacentral:rRNA from 1 species